rnacentral:snRNA from 1 species
GUGCUUGCUUCGGCAGCACAUAUACUAAAAUUGGAAUGAUACAGAGAAGGUUAGCAUGGCCCCUGCGCAAGGAUAACAUGCAAAUUCAUGAAGCGUUCCAUAUUUUA